CGACCAGGACUGUCCAACACGCCCCCGACCUCCAGACAAUUGAGGAGUUGUCCAUCUGGGGACACACAGCAGUGACAAGGACGUAGCCUUUCCUAAUCCCUGAAGAGCUCUUCCGCACUUGGGCCAGGGGAGUGGAGUCUUUACAAGGUACUCUGAAGGGCAAUUCCAGCAGAAUGUACAUUCCAUGACAUCUGGGACUUUGAUGCGUUGCCCCAGAAGAUAAUACCAGUACCUACAGCAUGUUCACCUAAGCACUGGUCAAGUGGAUAUUACUCAACCAGAAUGCAAACAUUUCUAUUGGUUUUAGUAAGACCUGAAAGAGGCUGGGCGCGGUGGCUAACGCCUGUAAUCCCAGCAGUUUGGGAGGCUG
rnacentral:lncRNA from 10 species